rnacentral:tRNA from 2 species
GAAAUAUUAUAGUAUAAAAGCUUCUAACUUUUUUUAUAAACAAUUAAAUUAUGUUUAUAUUUCU